GGCGAACGGGUGAGUAACACGUAGGAAUCUACCCAGGAGUGGGGGACAACCCGGAGAAAUCCGGGCUAAUACCGCAUACGCCCUACGGGGUAAAGUGGGGGACCUCUUCGGAGGCCUCACGCUUUUGGAUGAGCCUGCGUCGGAUUAGCUUGUUGGUGAGGUAAUGGCUCACCAAGGCGACGAUCCGUAGCUGGUCUGAGAGGAUGACCAGUCACACUGGGACUGAGACACGGCCCAGACUCCUACGGGAGGCAGCAGUGGGGAAUAUUGGACAAUGGGGGAAACCCUGAUCCAGCCAUGCCGCGUGUGUGAAGAAGGCCCUAGGGUUGUAAAGCACUUUCAGUGGGGAAGAAAAGCCUAAAGCUAAUACCUUUGGGUAUUGACGGUACCUACAGAAGAAGCACCGGCUAAUUCCGUGCCAGCAGCCGCGGUAAUACGGAAGGUGCAAGCGUUAAUCGGAAUUACUGGGCGUAAAGCGCGCGUAGGCGGCUAGAUAAGUCGGGUGUGAAAGCCCCGGGCUCAACCUGGGA
rnacentral:rRNA from 1 species